CACUAAGAAGCUAACUUGGGUACUAGCGUUAGCCUUUUAAGCUAAAGAUUGGUGACUCCCGACCACCCUUAGUGA
rnacentral:tRNA from 1 species